rnacentral:rRNA from 1 species
GAUGAACGCUAGCUACAGGCUUAACACAUGCAAGUCGAGGGGCAGCAUGGUCUUAGCUUGCUAAGGCCGAUGGCGACCGGCGCACGGGUGAGUAACGCGUAUCCAACCUGCCUUACACUCUUGGACAGCCUUCUGAAAGGGAGAUUAAUACAAGAUGUUAUCAUGAGUAAGCAUUUUCGCAUGAUUAAAGGUUUACCGGUGUAAGAUGGGGAUGCGUUCCAUUAGAUAGUAGGCGGGGUAACGGCCCACCUAGUCUUCGAUGGAUAGGGGUUCUGAGAGGAAGGUCCCCCACAUUGGAACUGAGACACGGUCCAAACUCCUACGGGAGGCAGCAGUGAGGAAUAUUGGUCAAUGGACGAGAGUCUGAACCAGCCAAGUAGCGUGAAGGAUGAAGGUUCUAUGGAUUGUAAACUUCUUUUAUACGGGAAUAAACGAAUCCACGUGUGGAUUUUUGCAUGUACCGUAUGAAUAAGGAUCGGCUAACUCCGUGCCAGCAGCCGCGGUAAUACGGAGGAUCCGAGCGUUAUCCGGAUUUAUUGGGUUUAAAGGGAGCGUAGAUGGGUUGUUAAGUCAGUUGUGAAAGUUUGCGGCUCAACCGUAAAAUUGCAAUUGAUACUGGCAGUCUUGAGUACAGUUGAGGUAGGCGGAAUUCGUGGUGUAGCGGUGAAGUGCUUAGAUAUCACGAAGAACUCCGAUUGCGAAGGCAGCUUACUAACCUGUAACUGACAUUGAUGCUCGAAAGUGUGGGUAUCAAACAGGAUUAGAUACCCUGGUAGUCCACACGGUAAACGAUGAAUACUCGCUGUAGGCGAUAUACAGUCUGCGGCCAAGCGAAAGCAUUAAGUAUUCCACCUGGGGAGUACGCCGGCAACGGUGAAACUCAAAGGAAUUGACGGGGGCCCGCACAAGCGGAGGAACAUGUGGUUUAAUUCGAUGAUACGCGAGGAACCUUACCCGGGCUUAAAUUGCAACCGAAUAUGGCGGAAACGCUAUAGCUAGCAAUAGCGGUUGUGAAGGUGCUGCAUGGUUGUCGUCAGCUCGUGCCGUGAGGUGUCGGCUUAAGUGCCAUAACGAGCGCAACCCUUGCCGAUAGUUACUAACAGGUUAUGCUGAGGACUCUGUCGGGACUGCCAUCGUAAGAUGUGAGGAAGGUGGGGAUGACGUCAAAUCAGCACGGCCCUUACGUCCGGGGCUACACACGUGUUACAAUGGGGGGGGUACAGAGGGCUGCUACCACGCAAGUGGAUGCCAAUCCCAAAAACCUCUCUCAGUUCGGAUUGAAGUCUGCAACCCGACUUCAUGAAGCUGGAUUCGCUAGUAAUCGCGCAUCAGCCACGGCGCGGUGAAUACGUUCCCGGGCCU